rnacentral:rRNA from 1 species
UGGGGAAUUUUGGACAAUGGGCGAAAGCCUGAUCCAGCAAUGCCGCGUGUGUGAAGAAGGCCUUCGGGUUGUAAAGCACUUUUGUCCGGAAAGAAAUCCUUGGCUCUAAUACAGUCGGGGGAUGACGGUACCGGAAGAAUAAGCACCGGCUAACUACGUGCCAGCAGCCGCGGUAAUACGUAGGGUGCAAGCGUUAAUCGGAAUUACUGGGCGUAAAGCGUGCGCAGGCGGUUUGCUAAGACCGAUGUGAAAUCCCCGGGCUCAACCUGGGAACUGCAUUGGUGACUGGCAGGCUAGAGUAUGGCAGAGGGGGGUAGAAUUCCACGUGUAGCAGUGAAAUGCGUAGAGAUGUGGAGGAAUACCGAUGGCGAAGGCAGCCCCCUGGGCCAAUACUGACGCUCAUGCACGAAAGCGUGGGGAGCAAACAGGAUUAGAUACCCUGGUAGUCCACGCCCUAAACGAUGUCAACUAGUUGUUGGGGAUUCAUUUCCUUAGUAACGUAGCUAACGCGCGAAGUUGACCGCCUGGGGAGUACGGUCGCAAGAUUAAAACUCAAAGGAAUUGACGGGGUCAUAGCUGUUUCC